rnacentral:rRNA from 1 species
UACGUAGGGCGCGAGCGUUGUCCGGAUUUAUUGGGCGUAAAGAGCUCGUAGGCGGUUUGUCGCGUCGGCCGUGAAAACUCACAGCUUAACUGUGAGCUUGCGGUCGAUACGGGCAGGCUAGAGUUCGGUAGGGGAGACUGGAAUUCCUGGUGUAGCGGUGAAAUGCGCAGAUAUCAGGAGGAACACCGGUGGCGAAGGCGGGUCUCUGGGCCGAUACUGACGCUGAGGAGCGAAAGCGUGGGGAGCGAACAGG